GGAUUUCCCCUAGUAAUGGCGAAUGAAGAGGGAAAAGCCCAAAUUUGUAAUCUGGCUCUUUCAGAGUCCGAGUUGUAAUUUUAAGAACUGUUUUCAGUGCUGGACCAUGUACAAGUCUGUUGAAAAGCAGCAUCAUAGAAGGUGAUAAUCCUGUUCAUGAUAUGGACUACCAGUGCAAUAUGAUACAGUCUCUAAGAGUCGAGUUGUUUGGGAAUGCAGCUCAAAGUGGGUGGUAAAUUCCAUCUAAGGCUAAAUAUUGAUGAGAGACCGAUAGCAAACAAGUACCGUGAGGGAAAGAUGAAAAGAACUUUGGAAAGAGAGUUAACAGUACGUGAAAUUGUUAAAAGGGAAACAAUUGAAGUUAGACUUGUUAUUAUUAGUUCAACCUUUUUUAAAGGAGUAUUCUAAUGAUUAACAGACCAACAUCAAUUUUUGGGUGUUGGAUAAGGGUUUAGGGAAAUGUAGCAGUCUCUGACUGUGUUAUAGUCCUUCAGAGCUUUGAUACAAUGCCUAAGAUUGAGGAAUGCA
rnacentral:rRNA from 1 species